rnacentral:rRNA from 1 species
UCGAGGGGCAGCAUUUUAGUUUGCUUGCAAACUAAAGAUGGCGACCGGCGCACGGGUGAGUAACACGUAUCCAACCUGCCGAUAACUCGGGGAUAGCCUUUCGAAAGAAAGAUUAAUAUCCGAUGGUAUAUUAAAACCGCAUGGUUUUACUAUUAAAGAAUUUCGGUUAUCGAUGGGGAUGCGUUCCAUUAGUUUGUUGGCGGGGUAACGGCCCACCAAGACUACGAUGGAUAGGGGUUCUGAGAGGAAGGUCCCCCACAUUGGAACUGAGACACGGUCCAAACUCCUACGGGAGGCAGCAGUGAGGAAUAUUGGUCAAUGGACGAGAGUCUGAACCAGCCAAGUAGCGUGAAGGAUGACUGCCCUAUGGGUUGUAAACUUCUUUUAUAUGGGAAUAAAGUUUUCCACGUGUGGGAUUUUGUAUGUACCAUAUGAAUAAGGAUCGGCUAACUCCGUGCCAGCAGCCGCGGUAAUACGGAGGAUCCGAGCGUUAUCCGGAUUUAUUGGGUUUAAAGGGAGCGUAGGUGGAUUGUUAAGUCAGUUGUGAAAGUUUGCGGCUCAACCGUAAAAUUGCAGUUGAAACUGGCAGUCUUGAGUACAGUAGAGGUGGGCGGAAUUCGUGGUGUAGCGGUGAAAUGCUUAGAUAUCACGAAGAACUCCGAUUGCGAAGGCAGCUCACUAGACUGCAACUGACACUGAUGCUCGAAAGUGUGGGUAUCAAACAGGAUUAGAUACCCUGGUAGUCCACACAGUAAACGAUGAAUACUCGCUGUUUGCGAUAUACAGUAAGCGGCCAAGCGAAAGCAUUAAGUAUUCCACCUGGGGAGUACGCCG